rnacentral:sRNA from 1 species
UCUCCGUGAUGUCUGCUGAGACGGCGAC